AUGGAACUUGAUAUAUCUUUGUGGUGUAGAUAGAGUUCUAAAUACUUCCCAUGUGGUUUAAUGUGACCAAGUAUAUACAAAUUUUAAGUUAGAUUAAAGAGUUAAGAACUAAAAAUUGAGUAUUUUGUUAAGGUGCUUUCUUGACUUACUUAAGCUAGUAGGUGGAUCACUUACUUGAGAUGUUUGGACCAAGUUAAUGGGAUCAAGACCAUGUAUCAGAUUAGGCCUUAUAUUAAUGUACUCAUUUGAGCCCAAAUUAAGUAAAAGAGAAAGAAAAUGGAGAAAAGAGGCCCAAUACUCAAAUCAGCCAAAUAACAAGUUAAAGAGAAGAAAAGGAGGAAAAAUUAGUAGCUAAGGCCCAAUAGUUUUUGAUCCAUAAAGGCCCAAUAUAUUGGGAAAUUGUAUACAUCAAUUACUUGACAAAAUAUGGCCCAAAAUUAGUCAAUAAAUUCGUCCAAGAGCAGCUCCUAUUUAUGGAUUGAAAUCAGCAAUUUUUCUCAUUUUAACUUAGACAAAAUUUCCAGCUUUCUAGGUUUUUCUCUUUUGUUCUCUCUUGGCUAUGAAACAACCCUAUAAUUCCACAAGGGUUAUUGGUAUUGACCUUCCUUCCAAGCUAAAGGGAUUAAGCUAUUGAGGAAAUACACAUUAAGACACUAAAAUACCAAGUAAAUCAAGAUAAGUAAUCUAAAAGUGCGGGAAGUCGAGUUGGGAUGGUAUUGGAGUUUUACAACCAGGCACAGGUGCUUCGGCAAACACGCCUCCUCAGUAGGAGCCCAGGAUAUCCAUCUGCUAUUGGUGAGCUCCAAUUUGCUUCGGGGCUUUUCGAGUCGGUUCCAUAUAUUUUUGGUAUUGUAUAAAAGUUAAUAGUAUGGUGAGGGUUUGUCCCGACCUUAGCUAAAUUUUGUGUAUCAUCUAGAGGCUUGGUAGACCAAUGUAAAGUUAAGCAUGGUAGUGUGUUAUCUUGUAGAUGUUAUGGCCCCAACGGCAAAGUCUAUUAUGUAUAUAGUUUUAGGGCUUGUCGUUUAUAUUUUUUUUUCAUUAAGGCAUUAUAUCCGUAUAUGGAAAAACCUUUGCC